UGAAGCGGCAGCCUACAGCUCUGAGCGCUGGCAACCCUCAGGGCCAGUCUUGCUUCCACACUGUCCAGCACCUCUCCCUCCUACCCACCUUGUGAGCUGGUGACUCAGUGCCAUGGUGAGCACUGACUGACGGGCAGCCAGCAUCUGCUUGAGGCCCAGGCUCACCAGGAGAUUAACCCGGCAGGCUGCAGUGAGAAGGGACAGAGACGACUCUGACAGGAGGCCCAGGAUGCAAGGGAAGGCCAAACAAAUCUACCUGCUUAAGGAAGACUCUUCCUCUGACGGCCACCUUGAGACUCUGUCCAGCAGAAAUCUCUGGCAAGUGUUAUCCCAGCCACUCAUGUGGCACUGGGCCGUCUAUGACUUCCUGAUGACAUUAUUCUACAUCAUUUUGUUCACAGUGCUGUUUGACAAUUUUGUGUGACCAUCCCCCGCACUCCGAAUAAACCUUAGCAAAGGAUGGAGUGCUUUCCGUAUGUGUCUGUCCAGACUGGCUUCUCACCGCCCUCUGUGAAGGGCCGGCCAGGCUGCUGUUCACUAAGUUUUGGACUGUAGAUAAGAAAAUAAAAAAUAAAAAUAAACGGCCAAUG